AAAGCAUGAAGGAGCAUGCUCUCAAAACGGGAGAAAUCGCCGAGGUCAAAAAAAUGCAAGCCGAGAUGAAACGAGAGGAGAUGGAUAUGAAGCUCUUGAACAAGGACACGACGGGUAUGACGGAGGCACAAUUGGCCUUGCACAACCACCUAGUCCAAGAAGUGCUCAAGCGUCGAGGGCUUAUUUAAAUUAGGAAAUUAUUGUUAUUUUUUAUUUUAUUAUCGUAUUUUAAUUAUGUUUUUAAUUUUAUUUUAAUUAUUGUAAUGUUUAAUUUUAUUUUUAAUGAAAUUGAGAAUUUA
rnacentral:lncRNA from 1 species